rnacentral:rRNA from 1 species
CCUACGGGUGGCAGCAGUAGGGAAUCUUUCACAAUGGGCGAAAGCCUGAUGGAGCAACGCCGCGUGCAGGAUGAAGGCUUUCGGGUCGUAAACUGCUUUUAUAAGCGAGAAAUAUGAUGGUAACUUAUGAAUAAGGAUCGUCUAACUACGUUCCAGCAGCCGCGGUCCUACGUAGGAUCCGAGCACUAUCCGGAGUGACUGGGUGUAAAGAGUUGCGUAGUGGGCAUAAUAAGUAGCUAGUGAAAUCUGUUGGCUCAAACAUUCAGACUAUUAGCUAAACUGUUAAGCUCGAGAACGUGAGGGGUAACUGGAAUUUCUAGUGUAGGAGUGAAAUUCGUAGAUAUUAGAAGGAACACCAAUAGCGUAGGCAGGUUGCUGGGACGGUUCUGACACUGAGGCACGAAAGCGUAGGGAGCAAACGGGAUUAGAUACCCGUGUAGUC